rnacentral:rRNA from 1 species
UACAACGCGAUGCGACACGGUGACGUGGGGCGGAUCGCUGAAAACCGGUCUCAGUUCGGAUCGCAGUCUGCAACUCGACUGCGUGAAGGCGGAGUCGCUAGUAAUCGGCGGAUCAGCAACGCCGCGGUGAAUGCGUUCCCGGGCCUUGUACACACCGCCCGUCAAGUCAUGAAAGUGGGUAGCACCCGAAGCCGGUGGCCCGACCCUCGUGGGGGGGAGCCGUCUAAGGUGAGACUCGUGAUUGGGACUAAGUCGUAACAAGGUAAC